GAUGAACGCUGGCGGCGUGCCUAAUACAUGCAAGUCGAGCGAACGGACGCGAAGCUUGCUUUACUGAUGUUAGCGGCGGACGGGUGAGUAACACGUGGAUAACCUACCUAUAAGACUGGGAUAACUUCGGGAAACCGGAGCUAAUACCGGAUAAUAUUUUGAACCGCAUGGUUCAAAAGUGAAAGACGGUCUUGCUGUCACUUAUAGAUGGAUCCGCGCUGCAUUAGCUAGUUGGUAAGGUAACGGCUUACCAAGGCAACGAUGCAUAGCCGACCUGAGAGGGUGAUCGGCCACACUGGAACUGAGACACGGUCCAGACUCCUACGGGAGGCAGCAGUAGGGAAUCUUCCGCAAUGGGCGAAAGCCUGACGGAGCAACGCCGCGUGAGUGAUGAAGGUCUUCGGAUCGUAAAACUCUGUUAGUAGGGAAGAACAUAUGUGUAAGUAACUGGGCACAUCUUGACGGUACCUAAUCAGAAAGCCACGGCUAACUACGUG
rnacentral:rRNA from 1 species